rnacentral:tRNA from 1 species
GUGUCAAUAGUAUAACCUCAUUAUAUUGCUUUUCCAAAGCAAGGAUCUAAUAAUUUAGUUGGCUCA